CUUCUUCAAAUCAGUGAGUCGCCAAUAGCCAGGUAUGGUUUCCUUUUAAUAUUUGGUUGAAGUUUUAUCUGUUUCCUUUCAUUUUUUCAAUUUUCGAUUCACCUUUGUUUGAUCUGUUUUAUAUUUUUUGCAUUUUUGAUCCCACUCGACUUUAUCAACAAAAAAUUUCUCAAAAGAGUACCUCCUCGAUCAAUGGAGACUUGAACAGUUUUCACCAGUGUUAGCUGCAUAUUGACAAAUUUAAUCUUAAAUUAUUAUCACCAAGUUAGAUUUAGUUGUCAAUAACCUAGAAAAUUUCAAUUUGAAACCCAAGCUUCAACAAUGGUGGAAUUCGAAGUUUUUCACCAAAGAAAUUUCAAUUCAAUGUGUUCCACCGAAUCAAAUUUUCAGCUUUCAAUUUCAUCUUUGGAGGUUCCAACCCUAAAUCUCAAAUGCCUAUCAGUACUGAAAUUUAAAAUUGUAAGCUAAAGCAAUUUUUGAACCACCUCUAUCAGUACACAAGAAUCCUAUCAAAGAGAUUCAAUAAUUUAUAUGUAAGCAAAAAAGAUCAAUUUUUUCCCUAGACAGUAUAAAUUUCAACGAAGGAGAUUCAACUGACCCCCCUCGUCCAUCUAACGGUGCCCCUGGAUAUAGGGAGAUCACAAAGGCUAGAGACAAUGGAUCUAUCGGGGAGAAGUUUGUUCAAGAGAGAAACUUAACUAGCCAACAGCUCCCUCUGGAACAAAGUCCCAAAUCUAAUGUAAGCAGAUCCAGACUGCACAAACAUAUCCGUAAUCCGUUCGAGUGAUAACUUGACAAACACGGAUUCAGUAACAACAAUCAGAGAGUUCAGUGUCACAUUUUCAUUAUUAAUAAAUCAAUAUUCGGACUAGAGCCAUUCAGACACCAAAAAGCAAACUGAAAACAUCUGAAUGAAACUCGCAAGUACAUUAAUAAAGAAGUACUGAGGAAUUUCUUCGACUAAUUUUCCGUACAAGGCAACAAGAGAAUCUACAAAAUUGAAACAAGCUCACUAUUUUAGAGAAAAGAUCAUCUCAACAAAUUGACUGGACUCGAAAGAAAAUGUUUUGUUAACGGUUUAGCUGAACGUCUUAUCAAUUUGUUCGUCGAACUACCUUUUUAUGUCUCUAAGGGCAUCAUACCAUGCUUUUAUUCUUCUAACUUCUGGUGAAUCUUCUCUAAAAUUGUCUCCAAUGUCAUAGUGACCAUAACCAUGAAACAAUACGUUAAUCGGACUCUCUUCCUUCUUCCUAUAUUCUUCUCCAUAAUUUGAUAUGUUUAUUGAACUUCCAGAGCUUCUAUCUAACAUAUAGACAUAAAUCGAGGACCUGCAACAAAAAAUUAGGAAACAUAUCAACAAAAUCGGACAACAGAUUCUAAAAUCGAAGCCUUAACCAGCGUCAUCCAGAGAUCACAUGUAGCUACUAAGUUAUUUUCUGAUGAACACUUAUUAUUGACAGACCCAUGGACUUAAGUACAAUAAAGAACCAAAUGAUGGCUCCGGGUAUAAGCGUGUCAUAGAGAUUAGUGUUGAUGUUAGGCUGUUGCCAAGAAUGCAAUGAAGUACAAUGAUGGCAAGUGUGAUGUUCAUCUGAUGGAGAAAAUAUUACUGGAAAAAUUUGAGGAGAAAUGGUUACAACUUCUGCCAAAAGUUAAUGAGAAGGUAACUAUUACUUUGAACAAUUCUGUUCUUUGGUAUGGCUUCCGUAAUUUCUUAAUAUAAUGAUGCUUGUGUUUGGUUGACAAUGAUAUGUAGGUUGUACUCUAUUUGUUCUAGAGUAUUUUCUCAAGUAAUUUAGAGCUCUCAUGGCUCCUGACUGAUAUUUACGAUUCACUAGUUUGUUUUGUGGACAAUGAUAUGUAGGUAGAGUUCAAUAACAGAGGGAGUAGUAUAUUUAGACAAUCUUUUACUUUUUCUUUUUCAUCUCUAAGAAAUAGACGCAACAACUUCUCUUCACCAUCGACUAUCCCUACUGCUCCCUCUCCAGUGCAAUGGCAGACUUUCUUGCCUCUUCUCCAAUAACCGCUACAAUGGCAGACAUUCUUGCUUCUUCUCCAACAAUCGUUGCAAUGGCAAACUUUCUUGCCUCUUCCCCAUCAAUUGCCAUUGGUAAUUUUUAAACUCUUGUAUCCAAAAUUUGGCUGUAAUGUUGAAAUUUCUCAUAUUUGACAGUCAUCUGCUUUCCCUCUUAAAGAAAAAAAAAUGGGCUAUUGAGUUAUCAAGAACAUUUCUUAACUUAAGAUAUCCUGGAUAACAAUGGUUAUAUUUCACUAUUUCUAUAUCCAUCCUAUAAUUAAUUUCUUUUAUAGUCAAAAUUUAUAAAAUAACUGUAGUUGAAAUUCUUUUGUUUUUCUGACAAAAUUUAGUUCAACAUUUGGAGUUGGGGAUUGUAAUGUGUUUUUUAGUUGACCGGUUGUUAGUAUAGUGGUAUCAGAAGUGGUAUGUGUUGCAUCCUAGAGAAAAAUUGUAUCAGUACAUGUCUCUACCAAUAGUUACUGGUAAACCUGAAAUAGUGUGCAAAUUUAUGAAUUGAAAAAUGGUUUUUAGCAGCCAAAAUAGGACUAUGUUUAUUAGAAAAAAAAGAGUGGCAAUUCAGGUAAGAGGUGGGGAAAAGGGGUAGGAACGGUUUUUAAAUAAGAGUCACAAUAUGGUCCUUUUUCAAAAUACUGAGAUAGAAACGACUUAUAUAAUAAAAUUUAGCAAUAUGAUUCCUUUUCAUGAUAAACCCGAAUAUGAUUAUCUCUAUUGUUCUGGCAGCUUUCUUGUGUCUAAUGUUCUUUUGACACACCUUUGGUACUCUGAUACAGAAGCAGUUUGAAAUCCUUUUAGUUAGCUAUAGAGUAAUAAAGAAAAAUUGAAGAUUAGGUUGUUUAAAAAAACAACUGAAGAUUUCAUCUUUGUACAAUAACUCGGAGGCAAUGAAGUACAAAUUCGAUGAACUCAGUGGCAGUAUCAGGUAAACACCAAGCAUGUAAGUUACCAAUUUCAUUUUCUUCCAUCCUAUGCCUCUCUUUUUUUUAAUAUGAAAAAUACUUGCAUAUCUUAAAGGUGACACACAUCUCAUAUGGAGUCUAAUUCUUUUGAUAG
rnacentral:lncRNA from 1 species